UACAAGGGCCAGAGCAAGCAGCAGGUUGGCUCCGGCAGUAGCCCUGCUGUUGGACAGGGGGCAGAAUUAAAAGGAGCUAUAUUCCUUUUCUGAAGAGGACAGAGCCCUUCAUGGGGACAGGCAUGACAACAGAAGUAAGGUCUGAAAGAGGGGAGAGUAUUGGCCUGGAAAGGAUGUUCCAGUUGUCGGGAGCACAUAUGGAAAAGCACAGCAACCACGGAGACUCCCUGCAAAUGGAAUCUCAUGUCAUUACACAGUAUGGA
rnacentral:lncRNA from 1 species